rnacentral:rRNA from 1 species
GACGAACGCUGGCGGCGUGCUUAACACAUGCAAGUCGAACGGAAAGGCCCUGCUUUUGUGGGGUGCUCGAGUGGCGAACGGGUGAGUAACACGUGAGUAACCUGCCCUUGACUUUGGGAUAACUUCAGGAAACUGGGGCUAAUACCGGAUAGGAGCUCCUGCUGCAUGGUGGGGGUUGGAAAGUUUCGGCGGGUGGGGAUGGACGCGCGGCUUAUCAGCUUGUUGGUGGGGUAGUGGCUUACCAAGGCUUUGACGGGUAGCCGGCCUGAGAGGGUGGCCGGCCACAUUGGGACUGAGAUACGGCCCAGACUCCUACGGGAGGCAGCAGUGGGGAAUAUUGCACAAUGGGCGGAAGCCUGAUGCAGCAACGCCGCGUGCGGGAUGACGGCCUUCGGGUUGUAAACCGCUUUCGCCUGUGACGAAGCGUGAGUGACGGUAAUGGGUAAAGAAGCACCGGCUAACUACGUG